GACAGAGGGUGCAAACGUUGCUCGGAAUCACUGGGCGUAAAGGGCGUGUAGGCGGGAAGGAAAGUCAGAUGUGAAAUCCCCAGGCUCAACCUGGGAACUGCAUUUGAAACUCCCUUUCUUGAGUACCGGAGAGGAAAGUGGAAUUCCUGGUGUAGAGGUGAAAUUCGUAGAUAUCAGGAGGAACACCGGUGGCGAAGGCGGUCAACUGGCCCAUAACUGACGCUCAGGCACGAAAGCGUGGGUAGCGAACAGG
rnacentral:rRNA from 1 species